AGGCGGGGUAACGGCCCACCUAGGCGACGAUCAGUAGCCGGACUGAGAGGUUGACCGGCCACAUUGGGACUGAGACACGGCCCAGACUCCUACGGGAGGCAGCAGUGGGGAAUAUUGGGCAAUGGGCGCAAGCCUGACCCAGCAACGCCGCGUGAAGGAAGAAGGCUUUCGGGUUGUAAACUUCUUUUGUCGGGGACGAAACAAAUGACGGUACCUGACGAAUAAGCCACGGCUAACUAC
rnacentral:rRNA from 1 species